rnacentral:rRNA from 1 species
CCUGACUGCUAUCGGAUUGAUACUAAGCCAUGCGAGUCAUUGUAGCAAUACAAGGCAGACGGCUCAGUAACGCGUAGUCAACCUACCCUAUGGACGGGGAUAACCUCGGGAAACUGAGAAUAAUACCCGAUAGAACAUUAUGCCUGGAAUGGUUUAUGUUUCAAAUAAUUUAUUGCCGUAGGAUGGGACUGCGGCCUAUCAGUUUGUUGGUGAGGUAAUGGCCCACCAAGACUAUUACAGGUACGGGCUCUGAGAGGAGUAGCCCGGAGAUGGGUACUGAGACACGGACCCAGGCCCUAUGGGGCGCAGCAGGCGAGAAAACUUUGCAAUGUGCGAAAGCACGACAAGGUUAAUCCGAGUGGUUUCUGCUAAAGGAACCUUUUGUCAGUCCUAGAAACACUGAUGAAUAAGGGGUGGGCAAGUUCUGGUGUCAGCCGCCGCGGUAAAACCAGCACCUCAAGUGGUCAGGAUGAUUAUUGGGCCUAAAGCAUCCGUAGCCUGCUUUGUUAGUUUUCGGUUAAAUCCAUACGCUCAACGUAUGGGCUGCCGGGAAUACUGCAAAGCUAGGGAGUGGGAGAGGUAGACGGUACUCGGUAGGAAGGGGUAAAA